rnacentral:lncRNA from 1 species
GGGAGACAAUAAUCAGAUAAAUAUUAAGAUAUAUAAGUUCUAAAAGAUUUUAAAAAGUACUUUGAAGAAGCCAACUAUGAUGAAAUCUGCAGGUAGACCUAAUUUCAAUAGGUGCAGGAUAAUAUAAGCUGAAGCCAAAAAGUUGGAAAAGAAUAUUCCGGCAGAGCUUAGGUCUGUACUUCCUGUGUCUGGGAAAUGUCCAGUGAACAAAGAAACAAAUGAAGCCCAGUGUGGCAGAAACUUCAUGAAAGAGGGGUAGAAGCAAGAGGUAAGGUUGAAGAAGAGGGCCGGAGCACGGUGUGCAGGGCCUUCUGGCAUAUGUUAGAGAACUAGUAUUUUACGUUGAGUGCAAAGAGAAAUGAUUAAAGACUUUUAAACAGGGGAGAGAGGUUAUUUCUGAAGGACUAUUUUAUAAAAAUAGGCAAAAAUGGAAAUUUUAUAAGGAUG